CUGGCCAUGGCCUAAUGGUAAGGCACUUGACUACGGAUCAAGGGAUUGGAGGUUCGAGUCCUUCUGGCCAGG
rnacentral:tRNA from 2 species